GAUGAACGCUAGCGGCAGGCUUAACACAUGCAAGUCGAGGGGUAGAGUUAGCUUGCUAACUUGAGACCGGCGCACGGGUGCGUAACGCGUAUGCAAUCUACCUUUUUCAGAGGGCUAGCCCAGAGAAAUUUGGAUUAAUACCUCAUAGUAUCUUUGCCUGGCAUCAGGUGAUUAUUAAAGUUCCAACGGUAAAAGAUGAGCAUGCGUCCUAUUAGCUAGGUGGUAAGGUAAGGGCUUACCAUGGAAACGAUAGGUAGGGGUACUGAGAGGGAGAUCCCCCACACUGGUACUGAGACACGGACCAGACUCCUACGGGAGGCAGCAGUGAGGAAUAUUGGACAAUGGGCGCAAGCCUGAUCCAGCCAUGCCGCGUGCGGGAAGAAGCAUCUAUGGUGUGUAAACUGCUUUUGUACGGGAAGAAACACUCCCUCGUUAGGGAGCUUGACGGUACCGUAAGAAUAAGGAUCGGCUAACUCCGUGCCAGCCGCCGCAGUAAGAC
rnacentral:rRNA from 1 species